UACGGGGGGAGCAAGCGUUGUUCGGAAUCACUGGGCGUAAAGGGUGCGCAGGCGGGAGAUUAAGUCGGAUGUGAAAUCCUCGGGCUCAACCCGAGGCCUGCAUUUGAAACUGAUCUUCUUGAGUAUCGGAGAGGAAAGCGGAACUCCAGGUGUAGCGGUGAAAUGCGUAGAUAUCUGGAGGAACACCUGUGGCGAAGGCGGCUUUCUGGCCGAAUACUGACGCUCAUGCACGAAGGCUAGGGGAGCAAACAGG
rnacentral:rRNA from 1 species